UCGUCAAUCAAGAGAAAACGCCUCCCCGCCAAUGACGAGUAUUUCCGUCUUUCCGCAAUACCGCUAUUAUCCACUAGGUGGCGCCCUUCCGCCACUUUUUAAACCCGGAAGUAUUGCCCUCUGGCAAGCUGCUGCAUGUCCGUGUCUGUUUUAAAGAUCGCUCUGAAUGGGAUCUCUAUGAAAAGUCCGUCACAAAAAUGGAAUUAUCUCUGCUUUUGCUCAAAAUGUGGUGUUUUUGCAGAAACCUACCCAUAAUCAAAAGCUGAUUACAAAAGAUCUACUCAAGACUACCAAUCCAAAAUACAAAUCCAGAGUGACUUUUACAAGAGGACUGAUGUGAUUCCAGGGAAGAGUCAAUGGAUUUGGGAUAAUCUCAUCAUCAUCAGCAGGACAGCGAUGCUCGUUUCUCUCUACUCCCUGAAAAUUCCCCUCUCAACAAACUGUGUAAAAUGUCCUCCGCAUUGGACGAUAAAUGGAAUGGCCAAAUAUAUUUGUGGGCUAAAAACGACGAUGCUGACAGAGUGAGGAUGUGGACAGGAUUCAGAAAUGAGAAAUGAAGACACUCACUGUCUCUCCUUUGGCGCCUUCGUCUCCUUUCAUGCCCUGGUCUCCCGUCGCCCCUUCCAUGCCUCUUAUGCCCGCUGCUCCU